rnacentral:SRP_RNA from 1 species
UGGUCCCCUCGCAAUGAUAGAUGGUGAACUCGGCCAGGCCCGGAAGGGAGCAACCGCAGCUAUCGACUCAUGUGCCGAGGUGUGGCUGAUU